UGCUGGAGGUAUCAGAAGUGCGAAUGCUGACAUAAGUAACGAUAAAGCGGGUGAAAAGCCCGCUCGCCGGAAGACCAAGGGUUCCUGUCCAACGUUAAUCGGGGCAGGGUGAGUCGACCCCUAAGGCGAGGCCGAAAGGCGUAGUCGAUGGGAAACAGGUUAAUAUUCCUGUACUUGGUGUUACUGCGAAGGGGGGACGGAGAAGGCUAUGUUAGCCGGGCGACGGUUGUCCCGGUUUAAGCAUGUAGGCUGGUUGUCCAGGCAAAUCCGGAUAAUCAAGGCUGAGGUGUGAUGACGAGGCACUACGGUGCUGAAGUAACAAAUGCCCUGCUUCCAGGAAAAGCCUCUAAGCAUCAGGUAACAUUAAAUCGUACCCCAAACCGACACAGGUGGUCAGGUAGAGAAUACCAAGGCGCUUGAGAGAACUCGGGUGAAGGAACUAGGCAAAAUGGUGCCGUAACUUCGGGAGAAGGCACGCUGGUGUGUAGGUGAAGUCCCUGCGGAUGGAGCUGAGACCAGUCGAAGAUACCAGCUGGCUGCAACUGUUUAUUAAAAACACAGCACUGUGCAAACACGAAAGUGGACGUAUACGGUGUGACGCCUGCCCGGUGCCGGAAGGUUAAUUGAUGGGGUUAUCCGUAAGGAGAAGCUCUUGAUCGAAGCCCCGGUAAACGGCGGCCGUAACUAUAACGGUCCUAAGGUAGCGAAAUUCCUUGUCGGGUAAGUUCCGACCUGCACGAAUGGCGUAAUGAUGGCCAGGCUGUCUCCACCCGAGACUCAGUGAAAUUGAACUCGCUGUGAAGAUGCAGUGUACCCGCGGCAAGACGGAAAGACCCCGUGAACCUUUACUAUAGCUUGACACUGAACAUUGAGCCUUGAUGUGUAGGAUAGGUGGGAGGCUUUGAAGCGUGGACGCCAGUCUGCGUGGAGCCAACCUUGAAAUACCACCCUUUAAUGUUUGAUGUUCUAACGUUGGCCCCUGACCGGGGUUGCGGACAGUGUCUGGUGGGUAGUUUGACUGGGGCGGUCUCCUCCCAAAGCGUAACGGAGGAGCACGAAGGUUAGCUAAUCCUGGUCGGACAUCAGGAGGUUAGUGCAAUGGCAUAAGCUAGCUUGACUGCGAGCGUGACGGCGCGAGCAGGUGCGAAAGCAGGUCAUAGUGAUCCGGUGGUUCUGAAUGGAAGGGCCAUCGCUCAACGGAUAAAAGGUACUCCGGGGAUAACAGGCUGAUACCGCCCAAGAGUUCAUAUCGACGGCGGUGUUUGGCACCUCGAUGUCGGCUCAUCACAUCCUGGGGCUGAAGUAGGUCCCAAGGGUAUGGCUGUUCGCCAUUUAAAGUGGUACGCGAGCUGGGUUUAGAACGUCGUGAGACAGUUCGGUCCCUAUCUGCCGUGGGCGCUGGAGAAUUGAGGGGGGCUGCUCCUAGUACGAGAGGACCGGAGUGGACGCAUCACUGGUGUUCGGGUUGUCAUGCCAAUGGCACUGCCCGGUAGCUAAAUGCGGAAGAGAUAAGUGCUGAAAGCAUCUAAGCACGAAACUUGCCCCGAGAUGAGUUCUCCCUGAGACUUUAAGUCUCCUGAAGGAACGUUGAAGACGACGACGUUGAUAGGCCGGGUGUGUAAGCGCAGCGAUGCGUUGAGCUAACCGGUACUAAUGAACCGUGAGGCUUAACCUU
rnacentral:rRNA from 1 species